AGAGUUUGAUCCUGGCUCAGGACGAACGCUGGCGGCGUGCUUAACACAUGCAAGUCGAACGGUGAAGUCCCUUCGGGGGCGGAUCAGUGGCGAACGGGUGAGUAACACGUGGGCAAUCUGCCCCUCACUGUGGGAUAACUCCGGGAAACCGGGGCUAAUACCGCAUAUGAAGCCUGGCGGCAUCGCCGGGUUUGGAAAGUUUUUCGGUGAGGGAUGAGCCCGCGGCCUAUCAGCUUGUUGGUGAGGUAAUGGCUCACCAAGGCGACGACGGGUAGCCGGCCUGAGAGGGCGACCGGCCACACUGGGACUGAGACACGGCCCAGACUCCUACGGGAGGCAGCAGUGGGGAAUAUUGGGCAAUGGGCGAAAGCCUGACCCAGCGACGCCGCGUGCGGGACGAAGG
rnacentral:rRNA from 1 species